CACGUAGGGCGCAAGCGUUGUCCGGAAUUAUUGGGCGUAAAGAGCUCGUAGGCGGUCUGUUGCGUCUGCUGUGAAAACCCGGGGCUUAACCCCUGGCUUGCAGUGGAUACGGACAGACUAGAGGUAGGUAGGGGAGAAUGGAAUUCCCGGUGUAGCGGUGAAAUGCGCAGAUAUCGGGAGGAACACCGGUGGCGAAGGCGGUUCUCUGGGCCUUACCUGACGCUGAGGCGCGAAAGCGUGGGGAGCGAACAGG
rnacentral:rRNA from 1 species